GGCAAGUGAGGGAAAAUGACGUUGAAAGAGGAGGGGAGAGGGUUUAAGUACUUAAAGUGGGUGGGAUCCACUGUAGCUGACAGGUAUGGCACCGACAAGUGUGGCAUUGGCAGGAGUCACAUCUUCUCCUUACACCCGCGACAGUGACAUGAGCAGCACUACCCAUUCUUUACCUUAACGUGCGGCGUUCCAUUUCACACGUAGCGUUACCCCUAAGCGUGCGGUGAUACUCCUUACAAGCACGACGAUACCUCUUUACACGUACGACGAUACCUCUUUACACACACGACGAUACCUCUUUACACGCAUGGCAAUACCUCUUUACACGCACGACGUUACUCAUUUCACGUGUGGCAUUACCUUUAUUCACACGUGGUGAUGGUCCUUUAUAUGCAUGUGUUGCUCUUCCUCCUCUCUCUUCUACACCCACGACGCUAGGUCUCUUCUUUACACACAUGGUGCUAGGCCUCGUU
rnacentral:lncRNA from 1 species